AUUGAACGCUGGCGGCAGGCUUAACACAUGCAAGUCGAGCGGGGUGAUGGUGCUUGCACUAUCACCUAGCGGCGGACGGGUGAGUAAUGCUUAGGAAUCUGCCUAUUAGUGGGGGACAACAUUUCGAAAGGAAUGCUAAUACCGCAUACGUCCUACGGGAGAAAGCAGGGGAUCUUCGGACCUUGCGCUAAUAGAUGAGCCUAAGUCGGAUUAGCUAGUUGGUGGGGUAAAGGCCUACCAAGGCGACGAUCUGUAGCGGGUCUGAGAGGAUGAUCCGCCACACUGGGACUGAGACACGGCCCAGACUCCUACGGGAGGCAGCAGUGGGGAAUAUUGGACAAUGGGCGCAAGCCUGAUCCAGCCAUGCCGCGUGUGUGAAGAAGGCCUUAUGGUUGUAAAGCACUUUAAGCGAGGAGGAGGCUACUUUAGAUAAUACCUAGAGAUAGUGGACGUUACUCGCAGAAUAAGCACCGGCUAACUCUGUGCCAGCCGCCGCCGUAACAC
rnacentral:rRNA from 1 species